UACAGAGGGGGCAAGCGUUGUUCGGAAUUACUGGGCGUAAAGGGCGCGUAGGCGCCUUCUAAGUCGAACGUGAAAUCCCCGGGCUCAACCCGGGAACUGCGUCCGAUACUGGAAGGCUUGAAUCCGGGAGAGGGAUGCGGGAAUUCCGAGGUGUAGCGGUGAAAUGCGUAGAGAUCUGCAAGAAUACCCGUGGCGAAGGCGGCCAGCU
rnacentral:rRNA from 1 species